rnacentral:rRNA from 1 species
UGGGGAAUAUUGCACAAUGGGCGCAAGCCUGAUGCAGCCAUGCCGCGUGUAUGAAGAAGGCCUUCGGGUUGUAAAGUACUUUCAGCGGGGAGGAAGGGAGUAAAGUUAAUACCUUUGCUCAUUGACGUUACCCGCAGAAGAAGCACCGGCUAACUCCGUGCCAGCAGCCGCGGUAAUACGGAGGGUGCAAGCGUUAAUCGGAAUUACUGGGCGUAAAGCGCACGCAGGCGGUUUGUUAAGUCAGAUGUGAAAUCCCCGGGCUCAACCUGGGAACUGCAUCUGAUACUGGCAAGCUUGAGUCUCGUAGAGGGGGGUAGAAUUCCAGGUGUAGCGGUGAAAUGCGUAGAGAUCUGGAGGAAUACCGGUGGCGAAGGCGGCCCCUGGACGAAGACUGAC